rfam:Gossypium arboreum cultivar AKA8401 contig_138980_1, whole genome shotgun sequence.
GAGAGCACAGUACGAUGAAAGUUGUAAGCUGUGUUCGGGGGGGAGUUAUUGUCUAUUGUUGGCCUCUAUGGUAGAAUCAGUUGGGGGCCUGAGAGGCGGUGGUUUACCCUGU